CCUACGGGAGGCAGCAGUGGGGAAUUUUGGACAAUGGGCGCAAGCCUGAUCCAGCAAUGCCGCGUGCAGGAUGAAGGCCUUCGGGUUGUAAACUGCUUUUGUACGGAACGAAACGGUCCUUUCUAAUACAAGGGGCUAAUGACGGUACCGUAAGAAUAAGCACCGGCUAACUACGUGCCAGCAGCCGCGGUAAUACGUAGGGUGCGAGCGUUAAUCGGAACUACUGGGCGUAGAGCGUGCGCAGGCGGUUUAUAUAAGACAGGUGUGAAAUCCCCGGGCUCAACCUGGGACCUGCAUUUGUGACUGUAUAGCUAGAGUACGGUAGAGGGGGAUGGAAUUCCGCGUGUAGCAGUGAAAUGCGUAGAUAUGCGGAGGAACACCGAUGGCGAAGGCAAUCCCCUGGACCUGUACUGACGCUCAUGCACGAAAGCGUGGGGAGCAAACAGGAUUAGAUACCCUGGUAGUCCACGCCCUAAACGAUGUCAACUGGUUGUUGGGUCUUCACUGACUCAGUAACGAAGCUAACGCGUGAAGUUGACCGCCUGGGGAUACGGCCGCAAGGUUGAAACUUAAGGAAUUGACGGCUGAGAGNGCGAGACGACGACGAGGGAGGAGG
rnacentral:rRNA from 1 species